rnacentral:rRNA from 1 species
UACGAAGGGGGCUAGCGUUGCUCGGAAUCACUGGGCGUAAAGCGCACGUAGGCGGCUUGUUAAGUCAGGGGUGAAAUCCUGGAGCUCAACUCCAGAACUGCCUUUGAUACUGGCGAGCUUGAGUUCGGGAGAGGUGAGUGGAACUGCGAGUGUAGAGGUGAAAUUCGUAGAUAUUCGCAAGAACACCAGUGGCGAAGACGGCUCACUGGCCCGAUACUGACGCUGAGGUGCGAAAGCGUGGGGAGCAAACAGG